rnacentral:rRNA from 1 species
GUGAGGAAUAUUGGACAAUGGGCGCAAGCCUGAUCCAGCAAUGCCGCGUGCAGGAAGAAGGCCUUCGGGUUGUAAACUGCUUUUGUACGGAACGAAACGGUCCUGGUUAAUACCUGGGGCUAAUGACGGUACCGUAAGAAUAAGCACCGGCUAACUACGUGCCAGCAGCCGCGGUAAUACGUAGGGUGCGAGCGUUAAUCGGAAUUACUGGGCGUAAAGCGUGCGCAGGCGGUGCUGUAAGACAGGCGUGAAAUCCCCGGGCUCAACCUGGGAAUUGCGCUUGUGACUGCAGUGCUGGAGUACGGCAGAGGGGGAUGGAAUUCCGCGUGUAGCAGUGAAAUGCGUAGAUAUGCGGAGGAACACCGAUGGCGAAGGCAGUCCCCUGGGCCUGUACUGACGCUCAUGCACGAAAGCGUGGGGAGCAAACAGGAUUAGAAACCCCGGUAGUCC